GAAGGAAUCAACAUCAGCAGUGUGUUAGUGACUGAGAUCUGUAUCACACACAGGAGAAAUCAGAAGGACCAAGUUUAACUUACAGCUCAGACCAUCUUGAGAAUAAGCUGAAGGAAUCAUCAUCAGCAGUGUGAUAUAGACUGAGAUCUGUAUCACAAACACAGUAGAAAUCAGAAGGACCAAGUUUAACUUACAGCUCAGACCAUCUUGAGAAUAAGAGAAAAAUGUCUCUGAGUGAUUUGUUAUUCCCUGGAAAUCCUGAAAGAAGGGAGAAGGUCAUCCGCAAAAGUCAAGAGCUUCUUGAACUGAUGCAAAACAACUUCGAUGCCACCAACGAACUCAUUGACAUUCUUAGUAAGCACUUAAAAUUGUCUUUCAGAAAAAUCCAUGUGAACAAGAGUGCUACAAUUAAAGAGAACUGUGAUGUAUUGAUUGAACGCAUACAUGAGAUCCAGGCUGUGGUGGAGAAGAUCAAUAAGAAGCUGAAGGAGGAGCUGGAACCUACCUUGUAUGAAGAGCUGAAGAACAUGAAUCUGUCUGUCUGUGUAAACAAGUAUAGAAACAUUUCUACAGUUCUUCAUGGAGUUUGUAGUCUUGCAGCAAUUGGAUCAAUUGUUGUUGUUGGUUGGCUAAUUUACAAUGGAACAAUUCUGACAAGUAUACAAACAGUAUGUGGAUUUAUUGGAACACUGCCAAUGGCCGGGAUUGUAAUUGGGCUAGUAUUCAUUGGGAUUGAUUUGAUUGUUUCAGCCUUCAUAGGAAGUGCUGAGCGUGAUCGGCUAGAGAAAGCCAUUGAAGAGUAUGACAGGGCUCUGAAAGAUUUCAGGCCGGCCUCUAAAACUUAUCAGCGUAGCAUAACCCGUGUCAUAAUACGUAUUGAAGACAUUGAACAACAAUAACUAUCGAGGUCAUUUUAAAUUUAGCUAGCCAUUGUUGGCUCUUGUUUUUCAAUUGCAGAGUUUAAGUGAUUAGUUUCAGUGUUUUGCAAAUACAUACUUUUUCUUUUAGAAAUCUUUGCUUGAAUUGAAAGUCACAUGUAACAUAAUACAUGAAUUUAAAUUUAGUGAAUAAAGACAUUAUUAAUAAAUAAAGAAUUGAUUAUAGUUUUAACAAAAUGUCCAUUAUAAUGCAUCAGGUAUCUUUUAGUCAACUUAACAUCUGAAUAAAAUGUUCCUGUACACUUUUGUUCUUUUAAAAGUCUGAACGAUAGUACACAUGUGGUUCCUGUGCAGAGCUGUAAAAGAAUGAUGUGGAUUAAAGUGAUAGUUCACAUCAAAAUGAAAAUUCUUUCAUCAUUUACUCACCCUUUUGUCAUUUAAAAACAGAGAGAUAUAUCUCAAGACUAAAGAGUAUUGGCAGACAACUGAAAUGAGGAUUAACUCACGUCUAGAUCAGGGGAUAUUCGGUCUGCUGUUUAGUUUGGUGCAAGCAGCCAUUUAGGUAAUGUUUGUGAACAACACAUUGAAGUACUGCACAAGACACCGUUUAUCUGUCAAGUCUGUUGACAAAUGAAUAAAACAGACGUCACACAUAAGGCCCUACACUAACUAUAACAGAAAAACUGCAAUGCAACUGCAUCUUCCCAUGCAGAGCACCAUUAGGAAUGAGAUGUCCCCUCCCUCCUCUUAGGGGAUUUUUUAGUCUGUUGUAUAUUCGGUGCAUCAUUAGGAAAGUGAAAGUGUUGUAGAGUAAUAUAAAGGUGCAACAGUUUCAUUCUGUCAAACUCUUCAGCUGAAGGAAUCAACAUCAGCAGUGUGUUAGUGACUGAGAUCUGUAUCACAAACACAGUAGAAAUCAGAAGGACCAAGUUUAACUUACAGCUCAGACCAUCUUGAGAAUAAGGUGAGCUAAACCCACUCCUCAACUGAUUCAUAUAACAUUUUAGGUUCAUGUUUUUGCAUAAACUGUAAUUUAAUGAUGUUAGAAAUAACACAGUCACGUUAUACUAGAGGCUUAAAGGACUUAUGUUGUGUGAAAAUAUUUUAUGUUGGGCUGGUCUCAUAAAACAGACAAAAAUUAGCAAGCAAUUUACUAUAAUGGUGUUUUGAGACUUACAUUAGAAUGAACUUUACAACGUUAUUUUGAUUCAGGAUUGUGUUUGGAUGAUUUAGGUGAUAUGAUGCUUUAAUUGUGUUCAACGAUGGGCUUAAAGCUCUACACAGCACACAACAUUUUUGCACAAUGUUAUAGUCCUCAAAUGCUGCAUUUCAGAAAAUCAGAUGUUGAUUUCUCGACUUUUGCACUUAAAAAAAAUGUAUUACUAAUGUAUGAUUAUCAUCCAUUACAGUUUCUUAAUGUGGUAGGGAUCUUUAAAGAAAAAGGCUACAAAAACACAAACGUACUUUAAAGCAACACGAUUUUUACCUCUCUAAAAUGAUUUAAUUGGUAGAACAACUCUUAACUUGAUGAAACGUGAGCAACCAUAUAGCGGCUACAAGCACACUCUGUAAGUUCUGUGUUCGGGUCGGUACACCCAGCCCCAACCAUCCCCUGCCUGUGGAACAGUGCGAUUCGGUUUCUAAACAAUGUUUCUGCAAACGCCGGUUUCAUCAGCUUAGUAAACAAAUUCACCUUUAAUGGGCUGCCCGCGGCAAUGGUUAUACAGCGACAUUACUUACGACACUGGUAACCAACAAUUGCGCUUAUCAACCACAUAAGUUCUGUAGUGUGGCUUUAACAUAAAAAUAUCAGAACAUCAUUGACCAUAGAAAUGUACAUUUUGUCGCUUUACUGCAAGUACUGAAAUGUAUUUCAUUUAUAUGUUUUAGUCAUUUAUAUGACACUCACUCUUUAUCAGUGCUAAAUAAUUUAUAAGAUUCUCUCUCUCUCUUUAAUUUGUUGAUAUAGAGUAAAAUGUUUCUGAGUGAUUUGUUAUUCCCUGGAAAUCCUAGAAGAAGGGAGAAGGUUAUCGACAAAAUCCAAGAGCUUCUUGAACUGAUGCAAAACAACUUCGAUGCCACCAACGAACUCAUUGACAUUCUUAGUAAGCACUUAAAAUUGUCUUUCAGAAAAAUCCAUGUGAACAAGAGUGCUACAAUUAAAGAGAACUGUGAUGUAUUGAUUGAACGCAUACAUGAGAUCCAGGCUGAGGUGGAGUAGAUCGAUAAGAAGCUGAAGGAGGAGCUGAAACCUACCUUGUAUGAAAAGCUGAAGAACAUGAAUCUGCCUGUCUUGUUUGUUUCAGCCUUCAUAGGAAGUGCUGAGCGUGAUCGGCUAGAGAAAGCCAUUGAAGAGUAUGACAGGGCUCUGAAAGAUUUCAGGCCGGCCUCUAAAACUUAUCAGCGUAGCAUAACCCGUGUCAUAAUACGUAUUGAAGACAUUGAACAACAAUAACUAUCGAGGUCAUUUUAAAUUUAGCUAGCCAUUGUUGGCUCUUGUUUUUCAAUUGCAGAGUUUAAGUGAUUAGUUUCAGUGUUUUGCAAAUACAUACUUUUUCUUUUAGAAAUCUUUGCUUGAAUUGAAAGUCACAUGUAACAUAAUACAUGAAUUUAAAUUUAGUGAAUAAAGACAUUAUUAAUAAAUAAAGAAUUGAUUAUAGUUUUAACAAAA